CGGGUGAGUAACACGUAUCCAACCUGCCGUCUACUCUUGGACAGCCUUCUGAAAGGAAGAUUAAUACAAGAUGGCAUCAUGAGUCCGCAUGUUCACAUGAUUAAAGGUAUUCCGGUAGACGAUGGGGAUGCGUUCCAUUAGAUAGUAGGCGGGGUAACGGCCCACCUAGUCUUCGAUGGAUAGGGGUUCUGAGAGGAAGGUCCCCCACAUUGGAACUGAGACACGGACCAG
rnacentral:rRNA from 1 species